rnacentral:rRNA from 1 species
AGUGAACGCUGGCGGUAGGCCUAACACAUGCAAGUCGAACGGCAGCACAGUAAGAGCUUGCUCUUACGGGUGGCGAGUGGCGGACGGGUGAGGAAUACAUCGGAAUCUACUUUUUCGUGGGGGAUAACGUAGGGAAACUUACGCUAAUACCGCAUACGACCUACGGGUGAAAGCAGGGGAUCUUCGGACCUUGCGCGAUUGAAUGAGCCGAUGUCGGAUUAGCUAGUUGGCGGGGUAAAGGCCCACCAAGGCGACGAUCCGUAGCUGGUCUGAGAGGAUGAUCAGCCACAACGGAACUGAGAAAAGGGCCAGACUCCCAAGGGAGGGAGCCGGGGGGAAUAUUGGACAAAGGGGGGAAGCCUGAUCCAGCCAUACCGGGGUGGUGAAGAAAGGCUUUGGGUUGGAAAGGCCUUUUGGUUGGAAAAAAAAGGAGGCGGUUAAUACCCCGCUGUUCUGACGGUACCCAAAGAAUAAGCACCGGCUAACUUCGUG